rnacentral:lncRNA from 1 species
CGGAAGUGAAAAGUGUUUUGGGGUGUAAUGUAUAAAGAAGCUAUUGCUUCUUCUUCUCCUUCAGCCGACCACCCCACACACCCACACACGCGCACGCAUGGAAGGGAGAGAGAAACCUCUCUUUCUCUCUCUAGAUUUCUCUCUCAUUUCUCCAAAUCUCUCGCUCAAAUUCGCGGCGUUGGCGGAGAAGAUGCUUGCGAACGCGUUGGGGGCGACGGAUCGAGCUUUCGUGCGCCCGUUGGAGCGGCGUGUUUUCGUCGCGGCGUUCACAUUGAGGUAAGCUUUUAGGAUUUGGCUUAAUCCUUAGUUUUAAGUGUUCUAAUAGCCUCUAAUGAGCAUUCUAAACAUGUUUUGUCACGCCCCGGAACCGAUGCCAAUUUGGCCCGACCCGAGCACGUCAAACAGACGCCGAACGGAUAGAGUUUCCCCUAUCCGCCCAAGGCUCAUCACAUGCACAUUUUCAUCAAUAGAGAAAAGCACUAGCGGAAACAUACAAAAACGGCUUACACGAGGGUAAGCAAUAGCCAUAAGUGAAAGAAAAAGGAAACUAAACAUUCUCAAGUAAUAUGAUUCAUUUUGAUCACAUACGUUGUAUCUAUCCAACUUGUACACCCAAAACCUUUACAUUCUUUCAUCAUUUCUUUUACAUCACAUUUACCUCAAAAUGAACAUUACAUUCUUUUCUUUACAUUACUAUCAUCAAAUACAAAAGAUGAUCAUAAGGUACUUUACUACAAAAUAAAACCCAACUGUGGUGGCCUCUGACUAAGGCGCGAUACCUUUACCGCGGUCGCUCGCCGGCUCGCUCGGUCCCGGCUCUGUGGAAUUAGUGGGGUGAGAACUACAACAAAGUUCCCAGUGGGUUCGGCCCCAACAUCACCGACUUUCCCACUAGGACUAACUCAGGCAUAAUAGAAAGGAUAAGUAAGAUAUAGUAACCAAUCUAUAACAUGAUGCUAAUAUGCCUGAACAAAUAGCAAUAAAUAUGCUCAACAUUAAAUAAAUGCAGGUUAUGCAUGUUCUUUAUUCUUUUCACAUUACUCUUUGUUCUUGUUCUUUGUACUUUGUUCUUUGCUCUUUGUUCUUUAAUCUCAAGGCUAACCCGGGGGUUUCGCCACAUUAACUUGCUUCACAUUAAGUCCAUCAUCGCAGGAACUCACCCGCUAGGACCGUCCUUACGGGUCUACUCCAACCCGGAUGCAUAACUCCGGAGCGCAUCGCCCGAGGGGGAGCGACCNAUGUUCUUUAUUCUUUUCACAUUACUCUUUGUUCUUGUUCUUUGUACUUUGUUCUUUGCUCUUUGUUCUUUAAUCUCAAGGCUAACCCGGGGGUUUCGCCACAUUAACUUGCUUCACAUUAAGUCCAUCAUCGCAGGAACUCACCCGCUAGGACCGUCCUUACGGGUCUACUCCAACCCGGAUGCAUAACUCCGGAGCGCAUCGCCCGAGGGGGAGCGACCACCCUCGAGCACGGAACUCAAUAGCAAGUAUGAUCAUAUCCUUAACUCAAAGGAUUAUAAGUUCAAUCUUGACUUUACACUAGCUCUAGUGUUCUUUACAUCACUUUAUGUUGCAAACUCAUGCAAUCACAUUCUUUACAUUCUCAUUACUCUUGCUAACUCUAGCAAUCAUUGUUCUUUGCAUCACACUAACUCUAGUGUCUCUUUACUUUACAUUUUCCAAUGCCACUCGAUCUAUGUCAUUGUGCCACUCUGUUCUUUUGCUCACUUUGGGUGCUCACAUUUUCUCUCAUGCAUACAUCUAGGGUUUUGACAUUAUUAGGUUCUCAACCAUCUCAUUAUGCAAGUUGUGCUCACAAUCAUGCAAUCAUCACAUUUCAUUAUUACUUUACCCUAAAAUGCAUGCAACAAUAUAUAGUACAUAUGCUCAAGGAAUGACACAUUAGGCAUAGAGAGAAUUUCAAUGAGUUUGGAAAGCACCACCCACCUUGCAGGUCUAUUUAGGUGCUCCGAUGAUUUUCUUGGGAUUUUUAGACCUCUCGUUCUUUACCUGCGGCAAAACGAACCCUUAUUAGGCCAUUUUGCUCAUAACUUUACUUUGACUUUUCGUAAUGCUAUUCCGAGCGCACCAAUGCGUCGGAAAUACCCCCAAUUAGGUUUUUAGAGGGUCAAUUGCACAUAGAAACCUUCAUGAGCAAAAGCCCCAAUUUGGGUGCCCUAGCUCCAUUGUAUAUCAAAACCUAGGGUUUGAUCUCAUUGGGAAGCAAAAGUAGCUUCAUUAUACUCUAAAUAACCCAUUAGAACCAUUCUUAGGCUUUCCAAAACCCUAGUUUGGAUUUCACCAUUAGAGGUGGCCCAAGCUCACCUAUGUAUCAAAACUAGGUUUUGAUCUCUUUAGAAGCAAAAGAAAGCUUCAAAACUACUAGAUAUUCCAUUAAAAACCAUCCUUAGGUUCAUUCAAACCCAUUUCUAGGGUUUUAGCAUGAUUAGGGUUGAAGCUUACCUCAAAGCUUUCCCUAACUUGCACUAGAGAGGAAGAAGAUGAAGCCUCUUUGCUCCAAAAGCUUCUUCUUCACCUUCUUCUCCUUCUUUUCCUUCCUUUCUCUCCUUCUUCUUCUUCUCCUUCUUUGUUUUCUAGAGAGAGAAAGAGAGGAGAGAGUGUGAGAGGGAGUGGAAUGAGAGGAAAUACCCCUCAGCCCACUAACAUAGCUCUAUGGGUUGCCAAAAUGCAAAUAAACCCCUCAACUUUCACUUUAAUACACUGCCCGAACUGGGCAGUUCGCGCAGGCAGAGACCGGUCUCCCCGAGCAGGGACCGGUUCCCGAACGUCCACCCUGCGCAGCCAGAGUCGCUGCGCGCGAUGCGACCGGUCUCUCUCCGAUGGGACCGGUCUCUGGGGGACCGGUCUCUCAAGCAGAGACCGGUUCCCGAGAGCUAUCCUUCCAGGACUUAGCCGAUUUUUCGGCUGUCUCCUUCUGCACGCGUUCGGGGACCGGUCUCUCCCUUCAGGGACCGGUCCCCGAGAGCUGAAAAUCUGCAGUUUUGCAGAAUUCAAUUCUUAAGCUCUCGAAAACCUUCCACAACUCACUUUCAAUCACUUUAACACCUUCGGACUUUCCGAAGUGUUCCAUCCUCGCACUUUGGUCAAUUUGACUAAAGUUCGACAUUUUUAUUUUCCGAAUUUUCGGUAUAUUACAUGUUUGCUCCAUUUAAUUUGGAUUAUUUAGAGGUUAAUUGCAUGUUAGGGCUCCGAAUGGGGUUUUGUAAAAUAGUAGGGUUUGAUCUCAUUUGACCCUCCGUAAACCUAAUUGCUAGGUAAACGAAUGCGUUGGCGAAGUCGGUUCGGCGAUUCGUCGAGCCGUUGUAAAGUUAUUAAAGAAACGGACGUUUAGGCUUCGUUUCCGCCUGGAGGGCCGAGGCGACAUCGCAAUGUCAUGAAAACGGAUUUGAAGCUUCGUGGCACAUAACCGAAGACCUUUAAUUUUCAGAUCGUGAAUUGGAGGCCGUUCGGGUGGUCACGCGAGAGAUCGGGCCAAACCGGGUUACGGGUGCCGCGGGAGGCCGAUUGCAAGUGUCGACAAGCAAUCGGAAUGCGAAAUGAGGUGGGUUGUGUUUACCGAAGCGACUAGGUCGCCUCUAUGUCUAAGAAAAAUGAGAUUUCAUAUUGAUGCAUGUUGACAUAUAAUGUGAAAUGCUAGAGGAAUGCAUUUGACAUAAUAUAAGAAUGUGAAAAGAAUGCAUGUUAACAUAUUAUAGAAAUGCUAGAUAAAUGCAUGUGAUUAAUGCUUUGAAUGCAUAAGAUAAAGGGCAUAUGAAUGUUAACAUUAUAAGAACAUGAUAAGAGGAAUGUAUGAUGACUUAGUGUAAAUAGUGCUAGAUGAAUGCAUUGAGUAAUGCUAAAGUUUACAUGAUAAGCAUGCAUGUGGAUAAUGCUAAGUAAUGGUAUGAUAAGCAUUAUGUAGAAAUAAUAAAUGCAAGCAUGUGGCUAAUACUAAGAUAUACUUGAUGAUCAUGUUGUAGAGAUACUAAUGUUAAGAAAUGGAAAUGUGCAUAUGGACAAUCUAUAUACAUUAGAUCGAGUGGCAUUAAACCUAGAAUCAUGGACAUAGGUUGAACAUGGAGGAUAUGAACCUAGUGUCAAAGAACAUAGGUUGGACAUCAAGUGGCAUUAAACCUAGUGUAUUGAACAUGGGUUGAACAAGUAUAGUGUAAACCUAGUGUCAUGAACCUAGCAAACACUUGUGGCAUUGAGCAUAUAUAUUUGUAUCAUUCAUACAUAAUAGGGCUAAGUACAUGUGAACCUUGGUUACUUUUAAUGACAUGUUUCUAACGUAGUUGAACAUAGAGAAAGAUAGAACCAUAAUGGACAUGUAUAUUAGGACCCUAUUAUUGUGUGAAUGUGAGAGUUGGACGUGGACAUUAGUAAACAAAGGCGACAUUGACAAUAGAGACAUUGUUUGGCAUAGAGAACAUAGUUGUUAAACAUAGUUUAACCAAGAGUGGCAUUGAGACAAGAAUGGCCUAGAGAGCGGCAUGAAUAAAUAGGUAGAAAACCUAUCAUGACAAGGGCAUUGUGACAAGUGGCUAAGUAUCCUCAAGUUGGGGAUUCGAUCGAUACUCAUGAUACGUCUUGGCUUGAGGGUGGUAGCUCCCCCUCAAGCGGUGAGUUUCCGGAAAUAGUCACCUCAGGAGCGAGUUCCCUGAUGACGGUCCCUAGGGGUGGUUCGAGGCCCCCUGUUAUGACGGGAUUUGGGUUAUGAGUUAUUGGGGUUAACAAAGUUAACCGGCAAGAUUGGGUAAAAGCCAAGUGAAUGUACAUUAAGCAUUAUGAGCUAUAGAUUGAGUAUCCCUGUCGAGUGGAUUUGGGGCUGAGGUGUAUGUGAGACGUCCAUUACCUCGAGCCUGGAUGUAUGCGGUAUUCCGCAGAUGAUUGACUCGGGACCGAGUCGGGUGGUUAGCUUGGCUAGGGUAGAGGAAAACCUUAGAAGCAAAUAACCAAUGAUGUAAAGUGACAAGAUAUAUAAAUUAUGAAAAAGCUAUGGAUAGCAUGAUAAAAAGUUAGAUCAUUUAUACUACUUGUAUAGUUGCAUGAUUCGCAUAUAGCAUGGCAUUAUUGCAUUCGUGAGGCAAAGCAUGGUUUUAUUAGUUGCAUAAUCAAGAUAUGUAUCUAUCUGUUUAUUGAACUAACCUGUUGUUGCCUCUUUUGGACCUAUUGGUCGAGCUCUUCCCUUGGGUGGCCGUACCCACUGGGAACCAUGGAGUUGGUUCUCACCCCACGUGGUUUUAGGGUGUUACAGGUUCACACGUGAGCGGCGCGGCGGCGCGAGGCGAGGGCGUAGUUCCAUAGCUAGCGCCCUACCACCGAGACCAGAGAUAGCGGUACCCUGAGUCGGCAUUACUUAGGGAUAUAAGAAAAUGAAAAUAAUCAAGUUGUAAUAAUAUUGUUAAAGCUAGAUUGUAUUUGGAAGCUAAAAAGAAUGUAAUAUGUAUUGGAAUGUAAAAUGUAUCUAGUGAAUGUGAAUGCUUGUAAUAACAUAGGAUGUGUUAUGUUGUUGAUAUCCUUCUUCUGCAAUCUUGCUUGAAUACUGUUCCUGGUUGGAACUCAUUGUACUUGUAUUGAUUGCUAUGCCUUGAACGUACAGGGGAGACUCUGUCCGCAGUACAGGGGAAACCCUGUCCGUUCGGG